AAACAUAUAGAUUUUUUUUUUUUAAGCACCUUGAUCUCGAAUAAACACAAAAAAGAAAUGACCAAUUUUUUACUUCCACAACCUCCAAAUAAAUCAAACCAACGUUUUUCUGUUUGGGUGCCUCUUUGCGAUUCUCGAAUUUCUGAACAAAACCAUUUAUGUUCUAUAGUAAAUCAUCUUUCAACCAGCUAUUUUCUGCCGCAUUUUCUUCCUCACAUAACUAUUAUGGGAGGUCUGAGUUCCGUUUCAUUGCAGCAGCUUGAAGAAGCUUGCAAACGUGUUGCGUUUUCUUUGACGCCUUUUAAAAUUACUCUUGAUUCUAUUCACAAUAAAUCAACUUACUAUAAAAAUAUUUAUGGAACGUUUGAUGAUGAAGGUUGUAAACGGUUGGAAACUAUUCAUACAAAACUGCGUAAGGAAGUUGCUUCUAUAGCCAAUAUUUCUAUAGAAUCUGUUGAUUCUACUCCUGUUGAACUGUAUGAACCACACGUAUCUUUUACAUACGGUAUACGUGACGAAACGUUACAGAAGUCUAUUAUUGAAAAUAUUCAAACUAAACUUUGUUCUAGAACACAAGGCUCCUUUUCACUUAUGGUUAAUGAAAUUGCUAUUGUCAAUGCUGAUUUGUCACUGGAAACAAAUCAAUGGAAGAUUCUGCAUCAAUACCCGUUCACAUUAAUUUGAUCACAUUGCGCAAAAAACUAUUUUGAGAAUACAUUGUUAUUAUUAUUCUUCUUAAUUCACGUACAAUAGAGAAUUUCUUUAAACAAUUGAUUAGAGAACGCCUUGCGUUAACAAGUUAAAUUUUUCAAACAGCGCUAAAUGUAAAACACAUGUGAUUCAUUUGCUUUUAUGAUCUGCUGCCAAGAUGGUAUUGACUAAACUCACUACGUUGGUCCUAUUGAACUAUUCCCUUUCGUAGUAACAUUAUGGCGAUUUUCAUUGGAAGGUACUGAUUUACAAUAUUUUGAAUUCAUGCGACAGAAAUCUAGUGUGCUACAUUUUUUAGACUUUUGGUUAAUAUUGUUUAUAUUUUUGGAAAAGUUCUUACUCGGUCCUUACUUCAUGCAUACCAAAGCCAAAAUUUUGGUUCGUUUAUUUUUUCCUUAGUUGGGAGGGCUCACUUCCUAUAGAAUAAAGAUCUUGUUUGUUAACGCUGUCGAUUAGAUAGUAUUCGAAUUAAAUUAACUCGGAGAAUGGCAGUCGAAGAAGCACGCAAAAUUUUAGAUCUAGGAUCCGACCAACUUACAAUUGAUAAAAUUCAUGAAAAAUUCCUUCGUUUAUAUAACAUGAAUGCCGCAAGCAACUCAUGUCACGGAUCCCCUUAUUUACAGAAAAAAAUUUGCGUCGCUAAAUUUAUUUUGGGAAAUUCUGUUUCGAGAAAAAAUAAUUCUUAAAUUUUUAAAAUCUACUGAUCUAUUCUUUAACACUACACAUUUUGUUUUUGUAUUUUUUACUACAUUUUUUUUUUCUAAAACCUUAAGUUUCUUUAAAAUGUGAAUCCGUCAGUUACAAAUUUUUUUAAUAGAUAAAAUAUCUAUUUCAUUAAGUUUAAUUGAAUUUUCUGCACGUGAGUGAAUUGAGGUGAAUCCAUCAUGGAGCUCGUGUAAAAAAAUUAAUUUUUGCCAUCUUAUUUGUAUUCUUUAAGCUGUUGUGGUCAAAAGGUAUUUUUCUUUUUUUUUUCUUUACAUGACGCUAAAAUGGAUGUGCUCAGCAGAAUGACAUACUCGAAAAUAUGAUAAAACAUAUACGUUUUUUUUUAAUGUUCAGGCCACUAAAUCUUUUCCGGUCUAAGUUUUUUCGAACAAAGUAAACUUGUUAUUUUAAUAAUAGACAGACAAUAUUACUAUGAAAUACGGUUCUUUUUUAAACCACAUUAUUUCGAUUUUCAACAAAUUGUAAUAUAUAAAAAAAUUUGUGGUAUGUUUUUUUUUAAAGAAAAACCUUUUCUUUUCCUCAGAAUUAUUAAAAAUUUUUUUUUUUAAUUAAAGUAAUAUAUCAACGAUAUUUACAUAAAGCAUUCGAGGAAAAAAAUUUUGAGAAAAUGUCCGUAACGUGUUUUUUAAACAAACCGUACUCCUAACGAUUAACAUUGAAUCAAUUUGCAAUGAACAAGUACUAGACUAAAAAAAAUUCCUGAAGGACGGCGAUUUUUAAAAAGGCAUUGAAGUCAUAUUGAGGAAUAACAUUUGUUGUCACUCUAGCACAUUUCUGUUACUCGUGUAAAAAAAAUUCUUUGUUUAUUAUCUAAUUCGAGUUCGUUUAUUCAUUUUAUUUGAAUUAAAUAAAAUUAUUUUUUUACUUUAAGUAAAUAUUUUACUAUGAAGUCUUAGAUGAACCAAGAAUAGAUUGCUCAAAGUACGUAAAAAAAUGUUAAAUAAUUUUUAAGUAUACAUGGAAAACUUCAAAACAUGAGUAUUCUUAUUAUUUUCGUAAGGUCUUUUUGCCAUUUAUUUUAAAAUAAUUUUUAGAUUAAGAAAAAUAGAAAACUUAUUAUAGAAGAGUAUUUCGUCUUUUAUAUAUAUGAGGUAUUAAAAAAUUUCAGAAAGGGUUUUUCUGACAUUCAACAUUCCUAAAAAAAAUUAAAAAUUUAUUGAACGUUAGAGAAAGAGUACGCUUUUACUAGUUUUGUGGGAGGAUAUUGUUUUUGUUUCGCAUGUAUUGACGUAACUGUGCCAGAUUCUUCUAUACUGUAUCUCUACACGAUUAGAUAAUAAAGUUGAACCCGUUGUGUUGUUUUUAGACGCACAAACAGGUGUUAUAUAGUGCGUAAAGCAAACAUUUUUAAAAAAAAAUUAUUUUUUAUUUAUUAAAGGAAUAGUAUUUUUAUACGUUGGUAUUAAGAUGGGUAGAAAAAAAGCGACAGCCUUACCACAGGAAGAAAUUUACGAAAUUAAAUCAGUACUGGAAUACGAGCCAAUUAAAGGAAAAGAUUAUUAUUUAGUUGAAUGGAACGGGUUCCCACUCUCGGAAGCAACAUGGGAACCACGUUCCAAUUUUGUCGAUGUGGGUCCCGAAAUUCUAUCUAAAUUAAAUGAACUUAAGGAGACUUAUUUAAAGCACAAAAAAAAAAAAAAAAAAAGUGUUAAGGAAAAAACGACUCAAAAUUCUGUUAAGAAUACAGAAAGGGAUGAGAAUUCAGCCGAAAACACGUCCUUACAUAUUGAUGAAGUCGAAAUUGAAAAAUCACCUCAGCAAUCAGUAGGUGACCGUUUUUCGGAAUUAGGUGUGACAGAAUCUUCGUUUCAAGCCACUUCAGCAAGCACGCCAAAUAAUAAAAAAAACCCUUUAAAUCCUUGCAAUUCAAAGGCUAUAUUACAAAAAAAACGAAAGAUUUCUAGUACGUUUUCCAAUUCAUUAAAAAAAAAAAAGAAAAGCCAAGAUAAGACUACAAAACCUUCUCAUGAAGUUGAAGCAAAAGAGCAUGCUUGCAACCCCCUGGUAGAAGACACUGUCGAAAAUAACGCGGAAAAAAAAUUAUCAUCUGAAAUAAACCAAUCACAUGAAAUGAAAAUCUAUAAAAAGCGUGUAUCAUCGAGAAAAAACAGUAUAGAAUCCGACAAAAACGUUAAUGAAGGCAGAGGAAGACCGCGGAAUCAAAUAAGUGUGAUUCCAUCGACAGACAUUUCAAAAGUAGUUGACAAAAACUCAAUAACAUUAUCUAAAGAGUCGUCACUAGACGUUUUCGAAAAAAAAUGUGUACCUGAAAAAGAGUUUUCUGAAAAUCUAUUUCGUGAACCGACAAGUAAUCAAAUAUCUGCGUCCUCUUCAGCCAUUGAAAAUGAUGCUUCACAACAAUUCGUUCGAGUGAAAUCAAUACGUCAAGACGCUAUACAUGGCUUAUGUGGUAUCUUAAGUAUUACUCUUGCAAAUGGGGAAACCGAAGAAUUAAGGUUACCUAUUUCUAAAAUUAGAGUAGAAUACGCUGACAAAUUGAUCGAAUUUCUACUUCAACGAAUUCAAUUUCGGUCCGUACGACCAAGCAGUACAGGAACACAACCCUCGGGCAAUUCAUCUCUUACAAUUCCUUGAUUACAAUCUUUCAUGUCAGUAUAUUGUUUUUUGUAAUCAUCUAAUGUUUUGAAAGACCACGUUACCACUAAUUUGGAAAAUACGUAGUGUUCAAAAAUAACCUUCAGGGUAUACCUCAGGAUUAUAGCGAAAACUAUGUCACAACGUCCUUUUGUUAUGCGCGUGCUUAUUUGCAUCAAUUGAAAUGCGUCUUUAUUGAGUAUCACUGUGUUUUACUUCAUGUACUUUGCACAAAAUGUCCAUUUUAUAAUUUUGUUUCUUUUUCACUUUGGAACUAUACAAAAAUGCGAAGAAUAAACAUUUCAUUGACUCUAGCUAAAAAAAAAUUGUUAUCAAGGUCUUAGUGAAAAGUUAAAAACACCAUUACAUGAGCUUCAUUAAAUCUUUAAAAAAAUAUUUAUUUUUUGACGUUUGCUAUUAAAGUCAUGUUUUUAUAGGAGAUAUAAAAAUUAGCGUGAAUGUUAAAAAAAAUAAUUAUCUAACGUUUGAGAUAAAAUAAAAAGUUUUUGUUUAUUUUUAUUACAUUAUAGAAUCUAUUGUACGGGAGCCAGACAUGCAAAAAAAAUUUUAUAUCUAAAAAUGAACUUAAAAAAAAUUUUUCUUUAUGGUCUCUUAUCAAACUUUAAGAAAAUCGCACCUUUGCAAGACUUCAAUAAAAAGUGUUAGUCUUGUUUUUAGAUUAAAAAAUCGUAUAUAUACAAGCCAAAUUAAUUAUGUUGUAGCCGAACUAUUAAAACCUGGACCUAACUUAGAGAUUACACCACACAGCGCCGUGAUUCAACUUGAUGAAAACGCAAAACCAGUUAAACUGAUACCUAAUGAUAUUGAUGGAGCGUGGGAGCUUCCUACUGAAGCGAAUCAAAACCUAGUAGAUAUGAGCCAACCGCGAACUCAUAUUUUACCAAAUGGAUUACCAGAUCCAGCCUAUGAUGGAACUAAUAUAUACCCGGGAACAUUAAUCACGUUGGAUGGUUUUGAUUACUUGAAACAACCUCGUCCAAUUAAAUCUGUAAAGAAAGGUUUUGUUGUACCUAGCGGUACAUCCAUACUAAGAAAAAAAGACAAAACAAAAAAUCAGAUUCAAAAUAGUGUCACAACUUUCAAUUUACCUAAAACUAAUGAUGAAAUAACCGAAUUUCCAAAAGUCAAGUUUGACUUGGCUUCUCACAACGUUAUGAAAUACUCUUCACCACCGCCUUCAGAAUCUUUAACUAAAGUUAUCGAUCCUUUUUCAAAUAAAAUUAAUUCACCAUCUCUUGACAUACAAGCAACUUCAGUAGCACCUUCAGUGAACUCAGCAAACUUUAAUUUAAAGGACUUAACGAACUUAUUUAGCCUUCAAUUUAAGAAUUUUAACUUGCGGUUUCCAACCUGGAACACUGAUUCUGACAAAAUUCCAAACUACUUUCUUUCUCCUAAAUUUUCGGAUAUUGCUGGAAUGUCAAAAAUUUUGAAGAUGGUAAAUAAUAUAAAACCGGAAAACCAAAGUAGCAUUGCAACGCGUUUAAGUUGUGUUCAAAAUUACUCUAGAGAACUGUGCCCCAUUGGCUGGGAACGAAAAGAUAGAAUUUGUCUUGCUCCACAUACCUAUAUGGGAGCAUGUGCACACAUUAUGGACUUUUCACAGUACACCAAAAACGAAAUGAGAUUCUGGGCUUCAGAAUGCAACAGUGAAUGGCCUUGCAUUGAAACCGAAACUGCAUGUUUGAACAAAGGGCAGAAAAAUUAUUCAACUAUAUGUCCGCGGAACUGGAGAAGUACUACGUCAGGAUGUGUAGCGCCUUCAGAUUACAAAGGGCAGUGUACUGAUCAAAAAUAUCGCAUGGAUCAUUUUACACAGACUGAAAAAGAAAAGUUUGAAAAAUUGUGUUCCGUAUCUUGGCCUUGUACAUUACAAGGAUGUGAACCAGACUAUCGCGCAUUAUGUCCUUUUAAUUAUAAACCAAUGGAAAUGAAUGAAGGUUGCGUUGUUUUGAAUCAGUGGAAUUCCACAUGUGAAAAAAUUGAAUUUGAUCUUUAUAAUGCCUCCUAUGAUGAGAAAUCGGUUUGGACAAGAAAGUGCAAUCUUACUUGGCCUUGUAUGGGGUCGAGAUGGAAUGCAAAUAAAUUAUCGAACUGUCGACAAAACUAUUCUUCACCCUGUCCAGCGGAUUGGAUUUAUGUUCAAUCGUCUGGGUUAUGCAAGCUUCCGGAUGACUUUUUCUCUUAUAUCCACAAACCAAAGUGCUUAUCCCUAAUUACACAAAGUCAACCUAAAGACGAACUAAAGAAAACAACUUAUAUUACAUUUGAUUUCUGGAGUGUAUCACGAAAACAAGAAUUAUCUGAUGCGUGUUCUGUGUUCUGGCCAUGUAUAGAAGAUAAAAAAUUUCAAAAAGGAACAUCACAAUCACUAGGAAAAGGAUGUCCGAAUGGUUUUCGUCAUAUAUCUUCACCUGACAAUCAGGUCAUCUGUGAAAGCUUAUCUAAAACUAAGACUGGAGCUUGCGCUGCAACGCGAAAUUUCGCUAAUAUGUCAAAAGACGAAUUAACAACAUUAAGUAACUUAUGCUCGUAUACAUGGGGUAACUCAACUAUAUACUCGAAUAAUUUUUUAAAAGGCGCUGACAUUCAUUAAUUUACGUAUGUUUUUCUUAAAAAAAAAAAACAAUUCAUAGGGUCAUUGACGUAUAUAAAUAGACGUCAGCGAAGUUCUUGUUUGUUCAAUUUUUUUAAUAGUACUAGGAUUCCAUUCACUCACAUUUUUUACAAAAUUAUAGAGGAAAAAUGUAUAAAAACAGUUAAGCUUUGCUACAAGAAGAUUGAUAAUUGUAAAAACAUAAUAACAGUACGAGUAGCGUAUGGAGUCGACCUGCGCAUGAGCUUCAAGUUAAAAAACUACCAUUUGCUUUUAUCGCUGUGUCGCAGUUUAACUUUUAUAAAG